UGAGAUUUCCCAACUUCGGUUAUAAGAUCCCUCAAAGAUGAUGAGGUGAAUAGGUUCGAGGUGGAAGCGUAGUGAUACGUGGAGCUGACGAAUACUAAUCGAUCGAAGACUUAAUCAAU
rnacentral:rRNA from 1 species